rnacentral:sRNA from 1 species
CCCAGAACAUAUUACCCACAAUGUCAAACCAAAACGCAAGGAUUUAUUUAGGAGCUUGUUAUGCCAUUUGGAUUGUCUAAUCCCCCUGCAUUCAGAGCCUUAUGAAUGAAGUAUUCCAAGAUAUUUGGACCAAAAAGUAAUGGGAAAACCACCCUUAGAUCUUCAUGCCACUGCAAAAGUGCAGAAGUUAGGGAGGCAAUGUGAUGCUUGUUGAUGCAGAGCAUGCUUUUGAUCCUGCAUAUUCUAAAUCAUUAGAAUAUCCAUCUACUGCUUGAUUUCAUGUACUCCUG